AAGUAUUCUUCGGUGCAGCCAGCGCUUCCACAGCGCGGCAGCCCAAACCUUACACACUGUGAUUAGUUUUUUUACUAUUUACUUUGGCUGCGCAAGUGGCCAAAGGUCUUAAACACAAAGAUUUAUAUCUUCUUUUACAAAAUUUAGUCAAUGAAGUUUUAAUACUAUAAUCUUCA
rnacentral:misc_RNA from 1 species